UAUGCGGGCCGGACGGUCGCGGGCGCCUUUUCGGCGCGUGAGGAAAGUCCGGGCUUCAAGAGACAGGAUGCCGGCUAACGGCCGGGCGGGGAAACCCGACGGAAAGUGCUGCAGAAAAGGAAACUCCCCUGCGAUCCCUUCGGGGAUGCGGCAUCUCGGCGCCGGCAGGAGAAAAGCUGAGAAGGUGCGGUAAGAGCGCACCAGCGCAUCGGUAACGGUGCGGCUUGGUAAACCCCAUCCGAAGCAAGGGCGAAUAGGCAUGCGAUACGGUCGUCUCUCCGUGCAUGCGGGUAGCCUGCUCGAGGCGCUUCGGCGCCCUAGAUAAAUGGCCGUCUUCAAAGACAGAACCCGGCUUACAGGCCCGCUACGGC
rnacentral:RNase_P_RNA from 1 species